rnacentral:rRNA from 1 species
GAAAAGAACUUUGAAAAGAGAGUUAAAAGUACGUGAAAUUGUUGAAAGGGAAACGCUUAAAGUCAGUCGUGUUAACGGGUGAUCAGCCUUUGUGGGUGGACUUUAGUCCUUCUCGUGAGGGUGCCUUCUCCCGUUAGCUGGUUAACAUCAAUUCUUCUCGUUAUAAAAAGGUCGGGGGAAUGUGACUCCAAUCCUGGAGUGUUAUAGCCCUUGAUUAUUGUAAUGAUUGGGAUUGAGGAUUGCAACGAAUACCUUUAGGGCUAAUUACCUGGCCUCUGAAAGUUUCACUGUCACUUUCAGCAUGCUGAUGGUGAUGGAUGCGGCUUUCGAUAGGUUAGAGUAUAUUUAAAUUCGUUAAGGAUGUUAACGUAAUGGCUUUAAACGACCCGUCUUGAAACAC